rnacentral:misc_RNA from 1 species
GGGAAAGCAAAUCUAUUAUUGGUUGAAAUUGUUUUAUUUUGUCUUGAAAUCCACUAAACUGUGAUGAUUAUAUUAACAUUUUCACUAAUGUUUUUGUUUUGUUGUGACUGCCAUAUUGAUAUGUUCAUGUUGCUUUUUUAUUAUAUACAUGUAUGUCCAUAUUUUACAUGUGAUAUUUAUUUCUUCAAACAAUAUGCUUUUCUGAUAAUCUGGAGAUAACUAUGUAUACAAACUUUUCACUUUAUGUAUGGCUACUGUGAAGUCUGGGUAAUGGAUUACUUCUUGUAGUUGAACAGGAAAAUGUGUCAAAAAUCAGUCUAUACUUGCAGAUAUCAUCACAUCGGUCUCUGAGUUUACAGGUUUUAACAUUAAAAAUGCUUUACAUUGUAUUAUUCAUUUUGUGUAAUUAACAUGUAUGUUAUAUAAUCAGAUUAUUUGUACAUAAUGUAAAUAACAGCAUCCCUGUACAGUCACACUCAUGUGUAAAUAGAAGCUCUGUAUAUAGUUAACUGGUGCUAAAUACUCUAAACUCUACCAUUGAUGGAGAGAGAGAGAGAGAGAGAGAGAGAGAGAGAGAGAGAGAGAGAGAAAAGGUGUCUUGUGAGAAUUUUAUAUGCCUGAUAAUCUUGAAUAGGUGUUCAUCUCUUAUUUUAAAACAAAAUGUCUUUAAAUUGUGCUCCUCCCAUACUCUCAAAGGUUUACAACUAGUAGUUUGAAUAUACAUAAUAAACGUAGUCUCACUUUGACAUAAUAUAGGUCAGGCACAGACGUAUCAACAAAAGUCUGUUUGUGAUGUAUUUGAAAUCCUGUAUACUGUGGGUGUCGAGUGACCCGCUCUUGUUUGUUUUAUAAUGUGUCUUGUUAACAAAGUGGUUAUAGCCUGGGAGCAAUUCGCUUGUAUGGUCAAAUAAACUAUCACAAAACACAAUUU